AAAAAACGAUUACAGUUAUCAAAAAUAUUAUGAGACUAUAAACUUUGAAACUUUUAUUGAACUUAAAAUUUAAAAACCUAAAUUGUUAAACCCUAAAUUGAGAUUUAAAGCUGCUAUCAUGGUGAUGAUUUCCAAUAUUGAAUGGUUGAAGGAUGAACAAUUGAAUCACACGCCUAUUCAUUUAAUGGAAGUUACAACAGACAAAACAUUGGAUACUGCACUAGAAUUAACAAUUUUUCACAAACUCACGUUAGUCAGGCCGCGGGAACUUAGGACAUCCUAUGAAAUCGAAUCAAUUGUUCGAGUACUUGGCACAGGAUUUAAAUUUUUUGAACUAUUAUCUCAGGUAA